GGACGUAGGGCGCGAGCGUUGUCCGGAUUUAUUGGGCGGUAAAGAGCUCGUAGGCGGGCUUGUCGCGUCGACUGUGAAAACCCGCGGCUUAACUGCGGGACUGCAGUCGAUACGGGCAGGCUAGAGUUCGGUAGGGGAGACUGGAAUCCUGGUGUAGCGGUGAAAUGCGCAGAUAUCAGGAGGAACACCGGUGGCGAAGGCGGGUCUCUGGGCCAUUACUGACGCUGAGGAGCGAAAAGCGUGGGGAGCGAACGG
rnacentral:rRNA from 1 species